CCCAGUGCUGCUCACACUGCUGCCCCAGCGUCGCCAUCUUCUCUCAGCUCUUCAUCCUCACCGAGAAGAAGCCCAGGCGUGAUGGCAAACUAUCAGCACUGGACACCAUACAGAUCGUCCUGGAAAACCAUAUAAUGUAAACUCACGUUAUCAAUAAACAAAAUCCACUGAUGAUGGCACAGAUGUUCCGAAACACGUUUGGGCAACAAGAAAAAACAGUGUUUUUACAUAAAAGGCGGAACCUAUAUCCAAUAACU